rnacentral:rRNA from 1 species
UGGGGAAUAUUGCACAAUGGGCGAAAGCCUGAUGCAGCGACGCCGCGUGAGGGAUGAAGGCCUUCGGGUUGUAAACCUCUUUCGCUCAUGGUCAAGCCGCAACUGUGGGUUGUGGUGAGGGUAGUGGGUAAAGAAGCACCGGCUAACUACGUGCCAGCAGCCGCGGUAAUACGUAGGGUGCGAGCGUUGUCCGGAAUUAUUGGGCGUAAAGGGCUUGUAGGCGGUUUGUCGCGUCUGCCGUGAAAUCCUCUGGCUUAACUGGGGGCGUGCGGUGGGUACGGGCGGACUUGAGUGCGGUAGGGGAGACUGGAACUCCUGGUGUAGCGGUGGAAUGCGCAGAUAUCAGGAAGAACACCGGUGGCGAAGGCGGGUCUCUGGGCCGUUACUGACGCUGAGGAGCGAAAGCGUGGGGAGCGAACAGG